UACGUAGGGUGCAAGCGUUGUCCGGAAUUAUUGGGCGUAAAGAGCUCGUAGGCGGUUUGUCGCGUCUGCUGUGAAAACCCGAGGCUCAACCUCGGGCCUGCAGUGGGUACGGGCAGACUAGAGUCCGGAAGAGGAGAGUGGAAUUCCUGGUGUAGCGGUGAAAUGCGCAGAUAUCAGGAAGAACACCUAUGGCGAAGGCAGCUCUCUGGGACGGUACUGACGCUGAGACGCGAAAGCGUGGGGAGCGAACAGG
rnacentral:rRNA from 1 species